rnacentral:rRNA from 1 species
GACGAACGCUGGCGGCGUGCCUAACACAUGCAAGUCGAGCGGAAAGGCCCUGCUUUUGUGGGGUGCUCGAGUGGCGAACGGGUGAGUAACACGUGUGUAUCCUGCCCUUGACUUUCGGAUAACAUCAGGAAACUGGGGCUAAUAUCGGAUAGGAGCUCCUGCUGCAUGGUGGGGGUUGGAAAGUUUCGGCGGUUGGGGAUGGACUCGCGGCUUAUCAGCUUGUUGGUGGGGUAGUGGCUGACCAAGGCUUUGACGGGUAGCCGGCCUGAGAGGGUGACCGGCCACAUUGGGACUGAGAUAGGGCGCAGACUGCUACGGGAGGCAGCGGGGGGAAAUAUGACACAGUGAGCGGGAGCCUGAUACAGCGGCGCUGCGUGCGGGAUGACGGGCUACGGGGUGAGAACCGCUGUCGCCUGUGACGAAGCGGGAGUGACGGUAAUGGGUAAAGAAGCACCGGCUAACUACGUG